AUGGGUUUUUGUUUUUAUUAUCUAUUUUAUUCUCCUUCUCUCUUUGUUCUGGGCUCAACAAUUGUUACUAUGAGACUAAGCUCAGCCAAAACGAACAACAUUAACAAAUCCUCAUCCGCGAAACCUUUCUCGGUGAACCACAACAACAAAUUAAUAUUUCUCACGCGGAAGGAUAAAGAGGAAACAAAGUCGCCAAAUUGGAACUCCUUCGAUGAAUCUUCGAACUUUAAGAUUUAUGAUUCAGUUCGAACAUACACAACAACAACGGAAACAAAUUUAUAG